rnacentral:rRNA from 1 species
UACGGGGGGGGCAAGCGUUGUUCGGAAUUACUGGGCGUAAAGGGCUCGUAGGCGGCCAACUAAGUCAUACGUGAAAUCCCCCGGCUUAACCGGGGAACUGCGUCUGAUACUGGAUGGCUUGAGUUCGGGAGAGGGAUGCGGAAUUCCAGGUGUAGCGGUGAAAUGCGUAGAUAUCUGGAGGAACACCGGUGGCGAAGGCGGCAUCCUGGACCGAUACUGACGCUGAGGAGCGAAAGCAUGGGUAGCGAACAGG